ensembl:lncRNA
GUGGAGAGUGAAGUUUCCGUUUCACCCACAGCGUGCUUUAGGGCAGCCGGAGUGAAAGUAGCAGUUCCUCCUUAAGGUCAGAGAUUGCAGCAUCUGAGGGCCUCUUUAAUAGAAGACGUAGUUGAUGAAGGCGUUCUGGAGCAGGACCAGAAAGACCACGACCAAGCAGCCUUGAGAUCUUAGACAGCGUCUCCCUCAGGUCCCUCUCUAUCUCCCCACACAUCCACCAACCACUGGAACACAUCUCCAAAGUUCUGCUGGACCAGCUCAGCUUCCCCUCAGAAGAAGUGCCACCACCUGCCAGAUGAAGGAGCCUUUUGAGAGGCAGCUGGCAUCGUGAUUGGACUGUACUUUGGUCUGUUCCAAUCCAGCUUCAGCUCCAGAGACGGCAGGCGGGACGAGUCAACGGAGGCCGGGUGGACGAAGGCAUGCAGCUGAGUACAAUCCAGA